GUCUAUAGCCAUACCACACUGAAUGGGCCUAAUCUUGUCCAAUCUCAGAAGCUAAGCAGGGUUGGGCCUGGUUAGGACUUGGAUGGGAAGAAAAUUUAAGAAAUAACAUUUAAGAAAUGUUAGACC
rnacentral:rRNA from 1 species